rnacentral:rRNA from 1 species
UACGAAGGGGGCUAGCGUUGCUCGGAAUCACUGGGCGUAAAGGGCGCGUAGGCGGGCCGCCAAGUCCGAGGUGAAAUCCUCCGGCUCAACCGGAGAACUGCCUCGGAUACUGGAGGUCUCGAGGGUGGUAGGGGCAUGCGGAACUAACGGUGGAGCGGUGAAAUGCGUUGAUAUCGGGAGGAACACCAGUGGCGAAGGCGACUUCCUGGCCUGUUCUUGACGCUGAGGCGCGAAAGCUAGGGGAGCAAACGGG